AGCUUCAGUAGCGUAUAUUAAAGUUGUUGCAGUUAAAAAGCUCGUAGUCGCAUUUCUGGCGAGAGGAUCCGGUCCGACCUUCUGGUGGGUUCUUGGGUCUCUUUCGCCAUCCUUGAGUGGUCCGUUCUGGCAUUAGGUUGUCGGAGCGUCAGCCGCUCAUCGUUUACUGUGAGAAAAUUAGAGUGUUCAAAGCAGGCUUAUGCCGUUUAAUAUAUUAGCAUGGAAUAAUAAGAUAGGACCUCGGUACUAUUUUGUUGGUUUGCGCACCAAGGUAAUGAUGAACAGGGACAGUUGGGGGUAUUUGUAUUUCGUUGUCAGAGGUGAAAUUCUUAGAUUUACGAAAGACAAACUACUGCGAAAGCAUUUACCAAGGAUGUUUUCA
rnacentral:rRNA from 1 species